AUUGAACGCUGGCGGCAGGCCUAACACAUGCAAGUCGAACGAGUGGAGGACGGGUGAGUAAUGUCUGAGAACCUGCCUGAUGGAGCGGGCAAACUACUGGAAACGGUAGCUACUAGCGCAUACCAUCCGAUGUGCACCGAGGGGAUUAGCUAGUAGGUGGGGGAAAGGCUCACCUAGGCGACGAUGCCUAGCUGGUCUGAGAGGAUGACCAGCCACACUGGAACUGAGACACGGUCCAGACUCCUACGGGAGGCAGCAGUGGGGAAUAUUGCACAAUGGUCGCAAGCCUGAUCGAGCCAUGCCGCGUGUAUGAAGAAGGCUUUCGGGUUGUAAAGUACUUUCAGUGGGGAAGCGUUACCCGCAGAGAAAGCACCGGCUAACUCCGUGCCAGCAGCCGCGGUAAUAC
rnacentral:rRNA from 1 species